rnacentral:rRNA from 1 species
GAUGGUUCGAUUAGUCUUUCGCCCCUAUACCCAGUUCAUACGAUCGAUUUGCACGUCAGAAUCGCUACGGACCUCCAUCAGGGUUUCCCCUGACUUCAUCCUGACCAGGCAUAGUUCACCAUCUUUCGGGUCCCAGCGUGUACGCUCUUGGUGCGCCACAACUUGCAAUAAGUAUGCAACGCCCCGGGAAUGCGAGGUUACAUAAAUAACGUAACCCAUCUUCCCUUUAUAAAAAUAUAUAUAAAAAAUUUAUAUAUAUAUAUACAAUUCACUUUCAUUACGCCUUUAGGUUUAUUAUAAAUACCCAAUGACUUGCGCACAUGCUAGAUG